UACGUAGGGGGCAAGCGUUGUCCGGAAUCAUUGGGCGGAAAGCGCGUGUAGGCGGUUCGAUAAGUCUGCUGUGAAAGUCCAGGGCUCAACCCUGGGAUGCCGGUGGAUACUGUCGGGCUAGAGUGCGGAAGAGGCGAGUGGAAUUCCCGGUGUAGCGGUGAAAUGCGCAGAUAUCGGGAGGAACACCAAUUGCGAAGGCAGCUCGCUGGGACGUAACUGACGCUGAGACGCGAAAGCGUGGGGAGCAAACAGG
rnacentral:rRNA from 1 species